UAUUCAUAAAACUGUAUUCUGUAUUUUAUUUUUCAAACAGCCAGUGUCCACAUUUUAAAUGCAGAAUUUGCAAAUAUAAAUUAGUCUAAUAAUUCAAUUAAAAAUAAAACAAAAACAAUUUCCUUUAGUAUCACAAUACAUAAAAUGGUAUUAUAAACUCCAAAUGGCAAGGUUUACUACAUGACAAUAAUGUCAAGAAGCUCUGAAACUCAUUAAACCUCUUAAUGAAUAGGUCAGUUUAAAGAACAUUUCUCUGUUCCAUGAUUAUGCAUGAAACAAGCUUUCACUAUAUUAUGAAGGCUCAGCAAUUUAUUCAUGGCAUAAUAUGGGGUCAAGC
rnacentral:lncRNA from 1 species